UGCCUAACACAUGCAAGUCGAACGAACUCUGGUAUUGAUUGGUGCUUGCAUCAUGAUUUACAUUUGAGUGAGUGGCGAACUGGUGAGUAACACGUGGGAAACCUGCCCAGAAGCGGGGGAUAACACCUGGAAACAGAUGCUAAUACCGCAUAACAACUUGGACCGCAUGGUCCGAGUUUGAAAGAUGGCUUCGGCUAUCACUUCUGGAUGGUCCCGCGGCGUAUUAGCUAGAUGGUGAGGUAACGGCUCACCAUGGCAAUGAUACGUAGCCGACCUGAGAGGGUAAUCGGCCACAUUGGGACUGAGACACGGCCCAAACUCCUACGGGAGGCAGCAGUAGGGAAUCUUCCACAAUGGACGAAAGUCUGAUGGAGCAACGCCGCGUGAGUGAAGAAGGGUUUCGGCUCGUAAAACUCUGUUGUUAAAGAAGAACAUAUCUGAGAGUAACUGUUCAGGUAUUGACGG
rnacentral:rRNA from 2 species